UACGAAGGGGGCUAGCGUUGUUCGGAAUUACUGGGCGUAAAGGGCUCGUAGGCGGCCAACUAAGUCGGAUGUGAAAUCCCCAGGCUCAACUUGGGAACUGCAGCCGAGUACGGGCAGGCUAGAGUUCGGUAGGGGAGACUGGAAUUCCUGGUGUAGCGGUGAAAUGCGCAGAUAUCAGGAGGAACACCGGUGGCGAAGGCGGGUCUCUGGGCCGAUACUGACGCUGAGGAGCGAAAGCGUGGGGAGCGAACAGG
rnacentral:rRNA from 1 species